AACGCUGGCGGCAUGCCUAACACAUGCAAGUCGAACGGAGUUUGAGGAGCUUGCUCCUUGAACUUAGUGGCGGACGGGUGAGUAACGCGUGAGUAACCUGCCUUUCAGUGGGGAAUAAUAUUCUGAAAGGAGUACUAAUACCGCAUAACGUAUAGAAGCCGCAUGGUUUUUAUACCAAAGAUUUAUCGCUGAGAGAUGGACUCGCGUCCGAUUAGCCAGUUGGUGAGGUAACGGCUCACCAAAGCAACGAUCGGUAGCCGGACUGAGAGGUUGAACGGCCACAUUGGGACUGAGACACGGCCCAGACUCCUACGGGAGGCAGCAGUGGGGGAUAUUGUGCAAUGGGGGAAACCCUGACACAAGCAAUGCCGCGUGAAGGAUGAAGGUCUUCGGAUUGUAAACUUCUUUUGUCAAGGACGAUAAUGACGGUACUUGACGAAUAAGCUCCGGCUAACUACGUGCCAGCCGCUGC
rnacentral:rRNA from 1 species